AACACGUGGAUAAUCUGCCCUUAGGUGGAGGAUAACCUCGGGAAACUGAGAAUAAUACUCCAUAGAUCUAGGAUGCUGGAAUGCACUUAGAUUAAAAGUUCCGACGCCUAAGGAUGAGUCUGCGGACUAUCAGGUUGUAGUCAGGGUAAAGACCUGACUAGCCUACAACGGAUACGGGUUGUGAGAGCAAUAACCCGGAGACGAUAUCUGAGACACGAUAUCGGGCCCUACGGGGCGCAGCAGGCGCGAAACCUUCACAAUGUGCGAAAGCACGAUGAGGGAAUCCCAAGUGCUUGCUCGUAAGAGUAAGCUGUUUUUAUGUCUAAAAAGCAUAGAGAGUAAGGGCUGGGUAAGACGGGUGCCAGCCGCCGCGGUAAUACCUGCAGCUCAAGUGGUGACCACUAUUAUUGGGCCUAAAACGUUCGUAGCCGGUUUGGUAAAUGCCUGGGUAAAUCGUGUAGCUUAACUAUACGAAUUC
rnacentral:rRNA from 1 species